CCUACGGGUUGCACCAGUGGGGAAUAUUGCACAAUGGGCGCAAGCCUGAUGCAGCGACGCCGCGUGAGGGAUGAAGGCCUUCGGGUUGUAAACCUCUUUCAGUAGGGAAGAAGCGAAAGUGACGGUACCUGCAGAAGAAGCGCCGGCUAACUACGUGCCAGCAGCCGCGGUAAUACGUAGGGCGCAAGCGUUAUCCGGAAUUAUUGGGCGUAAAGAGCUCGUAGGCGGUUUGUCGCGUCUGCCGUGAAAGUCCGGGGCUUAACUCCGGAUCUGCGGUGGGUACGGGCAGACUAGAGUGCAGUAGGGGAGACUGGAAUUCCUGGUGUAGCGGUGAAAUGCGCAGAUAUCAGGAGGAACACCGAUGGCGAAGGCAGGUCUCUGGGCUGUAACUGACGCUGAGGAGCGAAAGCAUGGGGAGCGAACAGGAUUAGAUACCCGUGUAGUC
rnacentral:rRNA from 1 species